ACGACGCUGGCGGCGUGGAUAAGACAUGCAAGUCGAGCGAAACGAGCUUGAUGGUAACUGAAGGCGAGUUUAGCGGCGAACGGGUGAGUAACACGUAAGAAUCUGCCCGGAAGACGGGGAUAGCCCGAGGAAACUCGGAUUAAUACCCGAUGUGGAGGAAACUCUAAAUGAUGCAAAUCGCUUCUGGAUGAGCUUGCGGUCCAUCAGUUUGUUGGUGGGGUAACGGCCUACCAAGACAUCGACGGAUAGCUGGUCUGAGAGGACGGUCAGCCACACUGGAACUGAGACACGGUCCAGACACCUACGGGUGGCAGCAGUCGAGAAUCAUUCACAAUGGGCGAAAGCCUGAUGGUGCGACGCCGCGUGGGGGAUGAAGGCCUUCGGGUCGUAAACCCCUGUCAGCUGUGAGUAAGGCCCGGCCUACGUCGGGAUUGAUAUUAACAGCAAAGGAAGGGGCGGCUAACUCCGUGCCAGCAGCCGCGGUAACACGGAGGCCCCAAGCGUUGUUCGGAUUCACUGGGCGUAAAGCGUGAGUAGGUGGCAAGGCAAGUUUGGCGUGAAAGCCCCGGGCCCAACCCGGGAAGGUCGUCGAAAACUGUCUGGCUAGAGGACCGGAGGGGAGUCUGGAAUUCCCGGUGUAGCAGUGAAAUGCGUAGAUAUCGGGAGGAACAUCAGUGGCGAAGGCGAGACUCUGGACGGUUCCUGACACUGACAACACGAAGGCCAGGGGAGCGAACGGGAUUAGAUACCCCGGUAGUCCUGGCAGUAAACGGUGUGCACUUGCUGUGGGAGGAUUCGACCCCUUCCGUGGCGGAGCUAACGCGUUAAGUGCACCGCCUGGGGAGUACGGCCGCUAACUAGAUG
rnacentral:rRNA from 1 species